UUUCACUGGAUGAGCAAAGAAAAUUGUUUCUUGAAAUGGAAUCUACUCUUUGUGAAGAUGCUGUGAA
rnacentral:pre_miRNA from 1 species